rnacentral:rRNA from 1 species
AGCUCCAAUAGCGUAUAUUAAAGUUGUUGCAGUUAAAAAGCUCGUAGUUGAAUUUUGGACCGGGCUGGGUGGUCUUGCCGCAAGGUAAGCACUGCUCUGGUCUGGUCUUUCUUUCUGGAGCUCUUGCGUGCUCUUAAGUGAGUGCGCAAGGUGAUCCAGGACUUUUACUUUGAAAAAAUUAGAGUGUUUAAAGCAGGCUUACGCUUGAAUACAUUAGCAUGGAAUAAUAGAAUAGGACUUUGGUUCUAUUUUGUUGGUUUCUAGGACCGAAGUAAUGAUUAAUAGGGACAGUUGGGGGCAUUAGUAUUUAAUUGUCAGAGGUGAAAUUCUUGGAUUUAUGAAAGACUAACUUCUGCGAAAGCAUUUGCCAAGGAUGUUUUCA